CUGUUGAUGCCCAUUUGCCAC
rnacentral:siRNA from 1 species